GGUAGCUUCACAAACUAUAUGUAUUUCUUCUUGUCAUGGUUCUUUAACACUGUCUAACUAUUCUAUUCUAUGGGUUUACUUUACAUGGUCAAAGAAUUGAGAGGUUAUUUUUGAUCUUCCUAUAUAUUGCUAAUGUUCUAUGUUCUCUGCCAGUCAAUAAACUUCAGGGUAAAAGAGAGAGAGAAAAACCUUUUUUUUUUAAGCUAAAAUUGAUAAUUAAUGCAGAGGUUUAACUUUAUAUUAUUUUGAUCAAAUUUAAAGUUUUGGCUAAACUUGAAUAAUUCACUCCAAGCUUUGGAUAUUUGAUCUUUAGGCCUUGUAAAAUAAAUGAUUCAGGCAGCAAUUGUUUGGAUCAUUUGUUGGUGGCUACAUUCUAGAUUAUUGGUGCUUAAUUUAUAGGACAAACGGUGUAAAUGAUUUUAUUUUUAUUUUGAAUUCUACAAGAAAAGCCUUAAUUUGUAUCAUAAAUGGACUAUGUGCAUUUCUUUUUUUAUCUGAUUCCAUGCUUUGAAUCUUAUGGGAAUUUCUAUUGUAGAGCAUAAAGUAUUUCUUUUCAAUGCAUUCAUUCACAAUUGAGAAUGAGUUUGUUACCAUUGGAUUCAGUCACUUGUUGUCAAGGAUUAAAUUACAGCUGAUCCAGUGAUCCAUUUGCCCAUUAACACGUGAACAUGCAAG
rnacentral:misc_RNA from 1 species